AACGAACGCUGGCGGCAGGCUUAACACAUGCAAGUCGAACGGGUGUAGCAAUGCAUCAGUGGCAGACGGGUGAGCAACACGUGGGAACCUUCCUAGGGGUACGGAACAACUCAGGGAAACUUGAGCUAAUACCGUAUACGUCCGUGAGGAGAAAGAUUUAUCGCCCUUAGACGGGCCCGCGUCGGAUUAGCUAGUUGGGGGGGUAACGGCCUACCAAGGCGACGAUCCGUAGCUGACCUUAGAGGAGGAUCAGCCACACUGGGACUGAGACACGGCCCAGACUCCUGCGGGAGGCAGGAGUGGGGAAUCUUGGACAAUGGGCGCAAGCCUGAUCCAGCCAUGCCGCGUGAGUGAAGAAGGUCUUCGGAUUGUAAAGCCCUUUUGCCAGGGACGAUAAUGACGGUACCUGGAGAAUAAGCCCCGGCAAACUUCGUGCCAGCCGCCGCAGUAAUAC
rnacentral:rRNA from 1 species